CCUACGGGUGGCAGCAGUGGGGAAUAUUGCGCAAUGGGAGAAAGCCGGACGCAGCGACGCCGCGUGAGGGAUGAAGGUCUUCGGAUCGUAAACCUCUGUCAGCAGGGAAGAACGGUCACUGUGCUAAUCAGCAGUGCAUUGACGGUACCUGCAACGGAAGCACCGGCUAACUCCGUGCCAGCAGCCGCGGUAAUAAGGAGGGUGCGAGCGUUAAUCGGAAUUACUGGGCGUAAAGCGCUCGUAGGCGGGAUGUCAAGUCAAGGGUGAAAUCCCCGCGCUCAACGUGGGAACUGCCUUUGAAACUGGCAAACUGGAGUGUGUGAGUGGAUAGUGGAAUUCCAGGUGUAGGAGUGAAAUCCGUAGAUAUCUGGAGGAACAUCAGUGGCGAAGGCGACUAUCUGGCACAUAACUGACGCUGAGGAGCGAAAGCGUGGGUAGCAAACAGGAUUAGAUACCCUUGUAGUC
rnacentral:rRNA from 1 species